GCUGGCUCUGAACGACGGGCAACCGUGAGCACCCCAGGAGCUACUAUCGCCCGAAGAUGUCACAGGUGGUCAUGAUUCUUUGAGGCAGCGGAAUUUCACCGCAGUGCAUCUUUAACACCUUCAGUUUCUUUUCUACUGCAAGCCUGGUACUACAGCUUGUGGCCCGUGUAGAAGAAUAGAGGGGUGAAACCAAGGCUCAAGUGACUGUGGACUCAUGGCCCUCAGACAGCUAGAGCACCAGACCAGGCACAGACCAGAGCCAUUUAUGCUCCACUUCUAGAGGACAUGUUGCAGUUUGAAACUACCAAGACUCAUGGAAGCUGCUGACAGGAGGCUGUUGAAGCCGUGGUCGCAAGGCACCCAUGACAUUGAAGUCUUCCAAACAAGGCACUAUGAAGGCAUGACUUGUAGCGGCACUGGAGCAAGCGACACGGUCCGGGUGAGCCGCAAGUGUAACUGUUACACUGUAAACAGGAAAUAUAGACAUGUGUCCGACAAAGCACAGACUCAUAAAACUUUCAUGUAGCAAUAAUAGUUUAAUUUAACUAAACAGUGCAUCAACAGAGCCUGACCCAAGAAUGGGGAAUUGGGGAACCGGCCAAUGUGUAGAGUCUAACAGAAACAAGGAAGGCGAUAAAAACAAAUGGGGCAACAUGUUAAGAUAGGACAAUAAUGUCGUGCCUAUUUUUUGUUUUCAAUUAAGAUUUUAUAGGAGCUAGCAAAAUAUGUCCUUGCAAUGGAAUAGACCUACUUUUACAAAAAGACCUUCAAUGUUUUUGUUAAAAUAAAUUGCGUCUGAGGAGGUGGAAAUAUGAUUUUCCCAAUUGCGCAUUAACAUAUCUUCGAGCUCCACAGGGUAAUAAAACUUCCCGAAACGUAAAUAUUUUUAUGCAUGCUCAGAAGUUUUUUUAAAUAUAGAAAAAGUCAAACAAUUUUUUUGUGAGAA
rnacentral:lncRNA from 1 species